AGCGAACGCUGGCGGCAGGCUUAACACAUGCAAGUCGAACGGGCACUUCGGUGUCAGUGGCAGACGGGUGAGUAACACGUGGGAACGUACCUCUUGGUUCGGAACAACACAGGGAAACUUGUGCUAAUACCGGAUAAGCCCUUACGGGGAAAGAUUUAUCGCCGAGAGAUCGGCCCGCGUCUGUUUAGCUAGUUGGUGAGGUAAUGGCUCACCAAGGCGACGAUCAGUAGCUGGUCUGAGAGGAUGAUCAGCCACAUUGGGACUGAGACACGGCCCAAACUCCUACGGGAGGCAGCAGUGGGGAAUAUUGAACAAUGGGGGCAGCCCUGAUCCAGCCAUGCCGCGUGAGUGAUGAAGGCCCUAGGGUUGUAAAGCUCUUUUGUGCGGGAAGAUGAUGACGGUACCGCAAGAAUAAGCCCCGGCUAACUUCGUGCCAGCCGCCGCAGUAA
rnacentral:rRNA from 1 species